rnacentral:rRNA from 1 species
UGGGCAUCAACACCGAAAGGUGAAGGCAAUACUCUUAAACCUGUCCUUAGCUCGGAUUGUGGGCUGCAACUCGCCCUCAUGAAGCUGGAAUCCGUAGUAAUCGCGUUUCAACAGAACGCGGUGAAUACGUCCCUGCUCCUU